rnacentral:lncRNA from 1 species
GAGUACAAGAUAACAGGAUUAAGUGACCAACCUUGGAAAGAGCAAAUGUAUACAUCUUCACAUACUCCUUUGUCCUGUUUCCUUUCCUCUAACUGAACCCAAAAUACUCACCAUCUCGUUUCCUGUUUUGAAUAAGUUGAGCAGCUACACACCUGUUGGAACAUUUUUGGUGCUGAGCUGCAUUUGUUUUCUUCUUUUUGGCGGUUGUAACUGAGAGGCGAGGCUGAUCCUAUUCAAGUAACUGUGUAUGACUACUUUGUCAACAACCGGAACAU